rnacentral:misc_RNA from 1 species
AUGCGAUACGUAAUGUGAAUUGCAGAAUUCAGUGAAUCAUCGAAUCUUUGAACGCAUAUUGCGCUCUUUGGUAUUCCGAAGAGCAUGCUUGUUUGAGUAUCAGUAAACACCUCAAAGCUUUUGAUUUUUUUUUGAAAGCUUUGGACUUGAGCAAUCCCAACACCAGUCUUUUUUAGAUCGGAGGCGGGUUGCUUGAAAUGCAGGUGCAGCUGGACAUUCUCCUGAGCUAAAAGCAUAUUCAUUUAGUCCCGUCAAACGGAUUAUUACUUUUGCUGCAGCUAACAUAAAGGGAGUUUGACCGUAUUGGCUGACUGAUGCAGGAUUUCACAGGGGUCGGCAACGACCCUUGUUAAACUCGAUCUCAAAUCAAGUAAGACUACCCGCUGAACUUAA